GUCACAGCAGGGGUCAACAAGGCCAUGGUGUGGAUUCAGGGCCUGGCAUUGGCCAGCCUGCUUCAUGCUAUAAGUAGGAGAAGCCUCUAGAGAGAGGCUGGCUUUUGAAUAUAGAAGGAUGUACAUUUUCCCUUCACAGAAAUCUGGCCUUUGCAACAGCCUAAAUGAAGACCUCAUCCUUUCUGUUCAAUGUCAUUCUUCGUCGAUCCUUGGAGGAGGCUGAGCAUAUAACCAGGCCAUGGAAUGGUGAAUAUGCAUCAUUUGGACAAUGAAGAAAGGCAAACCACCAAAGGCAAAAAGAGAAAGAAGGACCUCCAGAAUGGGAGAAUAAUUCCUCACUCGUCAGGAAAGGGAGAAUAUCCCCAGCCCCAUUUCAAGCUGUCAUCAUGAGCAGUAGUGGAGGAGUAGAUUUGCCAGACGGCUGUCAGCGCUGACACUGGGCAGUGUCAGCAGUGGGCCCGAGCUACCGUUGGUGGAGUGACUUUUCUCUUGCUGAACUCCUGGGUUCCCUCCUACUGUUCUGAACCAAUGACACAAGCUCUAGGAAACAGGUAAGUUACUCAUCAGCCACUGCUUCUUUUAGCAAAUGGUGAGAAUGAGCAAGAUCUCUCUUUUUAAGGCUUACCUGAACCCACUCAUGGAAAUUGGGGUAGGUGUAUAGGGUUUGUUUCAAGGUGAUUGUACUCAGGGAGGAGUUUUCUGUGAGCAACACUGGAAAUUUGGUUUCUCUCCUUCAUUACCAUAGACGGUCUCUCUAUAGACCAUCUCCCUCAAUGACAAACUGUCAAUAGGCUCUCAUGAUA
rnacentral:lncRNA from 13 species